rnacentral:rRNA from 1 species
AAUAGAUACCCGGGUAGUCCACCCCGUAAACGUUGGGAACUAGUUGUGGGGUCCAUUCCACGGAUUCCGUGACGCAGCUAACGCAUUAAGUUCCCCGCCUGGGGAGUACGGCCGCAAGGCUAAAACUCAAAGGAAUUGACGGGGACCCGCACAAGCGGCGGAGCAUGCGGAUUAAUUCGAUGCAACGCGAAGAGCCUUACCAAGGCUUGACAUACACGAGAACGGGCCAGAAAUGGUCAACUCUUUGGACACUCGUGAACAGGUGGUGCAUAGUUGUCGUCAGCUCGUGUCGUGAGAUGUUGGGUUAAGUCCCGCAACGAGCGCAACCCUCGUUCUAUGUUGCCAGCACGUAAUGGUGGGAACUCAUGGGAUACUGCCGGGGUCAACUCGGAGGAAGGUGGGGAUGACGUCAAAUCAUCAUGCCCCUUAUGUCUUGGGCUUCACGCAUGCUACAAUGGCCGGUACAAAGGGCUGCAAUACCGUGAGGUGGAGCGAAUCCCAAAAAGCCGGUCCCAGUUCGGAUUGAGGUCUGCAACUCGA